ACUAAAGAAGCUUGAAAUUCAUUGACAAUGAACCACAGCCAGAUCACAAUUCUCUUAUGAAGUUUUGACCAGGGCAACCUGAAAAAUUAGGUCUCGAUGUCUUAGAGUUGCAUCUGUCUCAGUGAGCGUGCAUCCUUCUAUCAUCGAACCAGAAAGAUUAGUCAUUUGUGAAAACCUUCAGCCCAGGUGACCUGCUUGAAGGAGAGCUGCAAUGCAAGUUAUCUCCCAGGGUGGGAACUGUGGACUGCAAAGUCACAGAAUCUGAAGUUGGCAACUGACUUGGCAGUUUUCCAGCAAGUGAUAUGUGCUCUUCAGUGUGGAAAUCAAUUUUGUUCGCAAAGAGUUAAAGUAAGGAUUCAACGAGAUAAUGUUUAUAAAUCACAAGUCAUAGCCCUUGGAGUAGAACAGCCUCCCAGUAAAUGCCAAAUUAUUAUAACGGUCAUCAUCAACAUCGACAAACUACUGUUGUCCGGCAACCUCACAAGAAUUCUUUGUGUGAGCUUGUACUUUGACCACUGUUUUGAACGCUUGAAUGCAUGCUUUAAGUCGAAUCCUUUGGCCUGAUUUCUUUAGCUGACUUUAAUUGCUUGGGCAAACUGCAACCAUUCGUGUUCGCAAUCUUUCAUUCAUACAACCUUUCAGAAGCAUCCAAGAAACUUAGAGACUCCUCUAAGGAUGAUUAUAAGACCAGUGUCAGAGGGCUAGAGAGAAAUCUUCGAAUGUGAUGAUCCUGUCUGUUUCUGUAAGUCUCAGAAUCAUCCAGUGAACCAACAGCACUCAUUUCACUUAAUGUGCAUGUGAGGUUUUGAAGAAUUUCUUUGAAUUAGAUAUUAAAGGAAAUCUAUGUUAUUUUUGAAAAACAUUUGUUUACAUAGAAGAAGUUUUCCAAAAUUGAUUAGAAUUCUUUAUUUUCAUCAUUACUGGUAGACACGUUAGAAUUUAGUUGAAAAGCUUAGAAAAUUAUCAUACUCUCGUCUUUUGGAAGUUGUGGUUUAAAAAAUAACUGAUGCGUAUAGUCUUGUGGGAAGGUAGGGUAAGAGUUGAUGCAGUUUUCCUAUUCUAUUUGGGUCAGAAUUUUCAUCGAAUUAGAAUUCUGUAUGAAUCCCUUACAGGUAUUAUAAUUUAAAUUGACUAUUACUACUUUGUUAUACUGAGGAGUAGCUCAUUUUCUGAGCUUUUCCUUGGCUCAAUGCAAUAUAUUUUAGUUAUUUUCACUGAAAAAUCAUGACCUAUGCAAUUAAAAUAAAUCUGCUGAGUA
ensembl:lncRNA